rfam:Ailuropoda melanoleuca scaffold1380_31, whole genome shotgun sequence.
ACCUGGCUGGCUUACUCUGUACAGCAUGAGACUGUUGAUCUUGGGGUGGUGGGUUCAAGCCCCGUGUUGGGUG